rnacentral:rRNA from 1 species
AUUGAACGCUGGCGGCAGGCCUAACACAUGCAAGUCGAGCGGAUGAAGGGAGCUUGCUCCUGGAUUCAGCGGCGGACGGGUGAGUAAUGCCUAGGAAUCUGCCUGGUAGUGGGGGAUAACGUCCGGAAACGGGCGCUAAUACCGCAUACGUCCUGAGGGAGAAAGUGGGGGAUCUUCGGACCCCCCGCUACCAGAUGAGCCUAGGUCGGAUUAGCUAGUUGGUGGGGUAAAGGCCUACCAAGGCGACGAUCCGUAACUGGUCUGAGAGGAUGAUCAGUCACACUGGAACUGAGACACGGUCCAGACUCCUACGGGAGGCAGCAGUGGGGAAUAUUGGACAAAGGGCGAAGGCCUGAUCCAGCCAUGCCGCGUGGGUGAAGAAGGUCUUCGGAUUGUAAAGCACUUUAAGUUGGGAGGAAGGGCAGUAAGUUAAUACCUUGCUGUUUUGACGUUACCAACAGAAUAAGCACCGGCUAACUUCGUG